AGAGAAGAAAUGCACAGUAAUAGAAAAGCAGAAGAAAUAGAAUCUGGGGAGCCAUGUUUAGCCUGUUUACAAGUGGAAAAGAAAAAUUGCUCUGUAGAGAGAUAUUCAGAGGGAAGAAGGGAUGGCCCCAAAGAGAGUGGGGUUCAGAGAUGGCUGGGCCUGGGGCCUGAUCUGGAGAGUGUGUUCCAGUUCCUGGUACCAAGUCUUCUUGGAACCUGUCUGUACUUCUCGGCUUCCAUGAUGAAUUGGCGGAGACCCUCUUCCAUGUCAUCUCACUCCAGGAGCCAAGCAGAGAGACACCUGCACCUCAAACAUUGCUGAUCAACAAGGUGUGGGGAUCAUUAAUUCCAUUUUUAUAUCAUCACUCCCAGAUUCUACAGUGGAAGGGAGAGAGCAAGACACAGCACCAAGUGGGCUCCUGAGUUAAGAAUGGAUACAAGAAAGAAAAUGCAGCAUUAUCUCUGGAAACAUCAUGGAUUCCUCAGCCAUGAAUUCAGCAAGGCAUUCCAAGUAUAGUAGGCUGCAUGAUUGUUUACACUUAUUUUCUGCCUUUCCUGUAAGAUUACACUUCUGUGUACCAUUGAUUUUAGGCUGAACUUUGU
ensembl:lncRNA